AUCCAGUGUUAUUGAAUAGUGUAUUUUUAAAAAUCCAUUAAAAUCUAGGGUUAUUCAAUAUCCAUUAGAUUUUGUGUUAAUUUGGAUUUGAACGUACUUUGGUUCUCAGAUACAAAGAAACACAAUACUACACUUUUGUCAGGGAUUUCUUUUCUUUUUUCUUUCUCUCCCUCUCUUUUCUUUCUCUACUAGUGUUUGAUUUGGAAUUUGAGAGCGUGAUUCCCUUUGUUCCUUCACUUCUCAUGUUUCUGAUUGAAAAUCUCUGGAUUUGGUUUUGUAGUAUCUCGAUCGGAUUUGACUAUCUUCUCUUUGUUUCUUUUACUCAUCCAGUGAGAAGGAAUCGUCUUUCAUGUAUUCUUCUGUGUAAUCGACUGUCUUGUUUGGUUAGAAGCUCAAGGUAAACCUUAAGUUCUUCUUUUACCUUACUUAUUCAUCGGAUCUGCGUAUUUUGGGAGUUUUUUUCGUGUUCUUUAACCUUUUUUUUUCUUUCUUUCUGGGUCCUAGGCUCCUAGGUUUAUAGGCAUGAUCUGUAACUUCAUCUCUGUUAGGGCUUAGGGCUUUAGAGUUAUUAACUUUUGAUUCUCAUGUUAUGGCACUGAUAAUCAUUCAAAGGAGGAUCAUCGUCGAGCAAAUCAUUAGAUGAAGGAAGUGCUUCUGGUUCAAGAAAGAACGGUUCAAAGCAUAGUAAGAAUCUGAAAGCAGAGGAAGCUUAUAAGAAUGGUGAAGGAGCAGUUCAAGUUGAGAGUGGGAGGAAAGUGAUGGUUGUUGUGGACACAACUUCACAAUCAGUGAGAAAUUCAUCUAGCCAAAGAUAAUUUUUUUUUUGCUUCUCACUAUUCCUUGCGCUGCAUGUUCAUCUUAAGUUAAGAGCUUUCAUUUCUCAAAGCAUAGGUUUUAUAGUUCACCUGUCUUUGUUUUCCAGUUUAUACUGCCUGAUCAUCUUCUUUGCUAAAAGAUAUCCUAUACUGAUAGAACAGCUUUCAUCUGAAUAAUUUUUAAGUUUCUUGGGAUGUUUGGUACUAAUGUUCACAGACUGAAAUGACAACUGCCGAAAGAGAACUUGAUCAAAAUACAAAUUUUGAUUGGAACCGUAUACAAGAGAGUGGAAAAGAAUUGGUACCAGUUUUUGGACCUGGAUAACCGGACGACUUGUCAAUCUUUGGAACAGUUGCUACUUGGCAGCUACGAUGCAAGUUGUUUUCUCUACCCCUUCAUUUAUUUCAAGAUACUUUUCACAUCAGUGCUUAUAAGAUGGCUUUUGAGAUGGCUCCUGCUGAUCCUGGCUUUGGAUGAUACAUGCUUUAGUUUCUGUUUUUUUUUUUUUUUUCUCUGUUUGAUUUAAUAUGAUCAAAAACAAAGGACUGAAGACGAUGAUGAAACUGCAAAAC